rnacentral:rRNA from 1 species
AAAAGGGAAGCGCUUGUGACCAGACUUGCGCCGGCGGAUCACCGGCUCUCGCGGCCGGGGCACUCCGCCGGCUCAGGCCAGCAUCAGCUCGCUGUCGGGGACAAAAGCUUCGGGAACGUGGCUCCUCCGGGGAGUGUUAUAGCCCGUUGCACAAUACCUUCGGUGGGCUGAGGUACGCCGUCCGC